CACAGCCUCAUUGACAUCAUGGGUUCAGCGUCUGGUUCCGGUGCUGGGCUGGCAUUUGCUGCCAGGAUAAGCUGCUCCUCACCAGAACCUCCAGGAACAGCCCAGAUUUUCAGCCAUGGCCAAGGUGUCCUCUGCGUCUGCCUUUGGGUCCCUUCUCAGUUAAAGGAGAAGAAAUGGCUCGGUGCUUCAGCUGUCCUUACUGUCCAGCCUCUCCUGUCCUCAGCCCGAGGCCUGGAGCCCAGUUAAAAGCUCUGUUUGCUCCAGAAUUGUUUCUGCGCUGGGGCUGAGGAGUCGGUGUGAGCCAG
rnacentral:lncRNA from 1 species